rnacentral:ncRNA from 2 species
CGUUCCGAGGAGCGCUGCGACGAACUAUGCUUCGCCAGGCUCGGAGAUCCCCAACCGCGCUCACGUUAC